rfam:Triticum aestivum genome assembly, contig: Triticum_aestivum_CS42_TGACv1_scaffold_557686_7AL
GAUAUACUCCCUCCGUUCCGCAUUACUCGUCGCAGAAAUGGAUGUAUCUAGAUGUAUUUUAGUUCUAGAUACAUCCAUUUCUGCGACGAGUAAUUUGGAACGGAGGGAGUAUCUU